CAAAAAAAUGAUUCUUGCCAGUAAUUGAAAUUAAGCGAUCUAUAUAAAUAAAGUUUAUUUAAAAAAGCAUAAAAUAAUUAUUAUCAAUCCGAAUUACGCUUUCUCAACAUGAACGUAAUGGAUCCGAAACCAACCUGAUCAAAUUACAUAAACUAUGCCUAAUUCGCUGCAGUAAAGCGAGAAUGCAGAUGUUGCGCAUGCGCAUUAGAAAAAAAAACUAGGCGGGAAGUCGACUAGGGCGCGACGACCAUCAUAUAUGGCGACGACGGUGAGCGGUGGGACGAUUAAUGAAGAACGGAUGAGGAGAUUAUACAAGAGACUUCGUUGUGACAUAAUUCCACAUUGAAUCUCAUUAAAGUCAAUCAAUCACUCACUUAAUAUAUGUGAGUCUUGGGAAUGUGGCAAUGUAAAGUGUGUGGAACAGAAGUUUGUAGUAGGAGGAAGACGAAUGGUGACCCUGAAGAGGCACAUCUUCAUUUAAGAAAAGGAGAGAAAAAUGUCGAGUCCGAUCAUUCUGAGGAUUGUUUUUGGUGGGGAUGACGAUGCAAGAAAGCUUACACUUAAGACAGGAAUCCCAAAGUCUGUGGAUGACCUUGUACUUGAAAUAAUGACUGUUUUUGGGGUGAAGCAAAAGUUCAGGCUCCAGUACAAAGAUAAGGACUUUGGAAAUGGUUACAUGAAUCUCAUGUCAACCAGUCAAAUUGAAGACAGGGAUACCCUGAAACUGAUUUUUCUAUCAACUGAUGACUAUAACUCCUGCUUGCAAGAGACUUCACCUGAUGCACCUUGCUGUUCCAGCAUUCUUGUUCCUUCACCCAGAUCAAUUUGUAGCUCUGACACUCUCGACACAAGAGAUGUUAGCCCUUGUGUGCCAUUGACUCAGUCCAGGAAGUCAACUUGUCUGAUGACUCAUUUUCCAGCAGCGCUGAGACUGUCUUAAUUACGUCUCCAGAGUCGAGAACCAGUUCUUGGCCUCAGGUUUUUAUAGUUCCUCGUUUUUCAUGUUCUGCUGAAAUUCAGCUUCAGAGAGCUGACACAGAGUUCAAUAAAAGUGGAAUGCUACUUAUUCCACCACCAUAACUAAGAUCUGACAUUCUUGAAGGCAUGGCUGAGGAGAUCUUUAGGUAUGCAGCAUACCCCUCUGAUAGUCAGCUUGAUCAGGCAGCUGAAGCCUUGAUAAAUGCUCACCCUUGCUUGAGGGAAAAAGGAACUCGCACUGGCCAUGAAGGAUGGAAACACUACCUAAAGAUUAAGAUGGCAAAUUUUCGCUCCAAACUCAGCAAGAUUGGGCACCCCGAAAUUACUGUGAACUCUCUUAGGAACAAGCGUAAAGGUCAGGGUAAAGCAGCAUCAAACAUCAAAAAGCCAAAAAAAGCUGAGGUGAAUUUCCUUCCUUGCCUUCCGAAAGGAGAAACAGCAGAAAGCAUGGAGAAGGAAAGAAUUGCUCUCUUAACUGAAGUGAAAAAGAAAAAUAACGAGGCAGUCAUUAAGGAAAAAAUGCAGUUGACCUUCUCCUAUAGGCGGCAAGAGUUGGUUGAGGAUUUACCAAUGGUUUCUGAUUUACAAAGCAGGUGGCCUGCUUUGUUCACAGUAAAUGAAAUAAAUGCAGAAUUCAUGCGGAUAACGACUGUGCCCCUUAUGUCAAAGUUCUUAGCACAGCUGGACAAAUACACUGCUAAUCUACACAAGGUUUUCAGCAGCAAAGGAGGUGCUUCUGGACAGAAGAUUUCGCGCAUUAUGUCAGUUGCA